GGAUAGUGACACUUACAUAUAAUUUCAGCACUCAGGAGGCUGAGGCAGGAGGAUCUCAAAUUGGAGGCCCGCCUGGACUACAUAGCAAGUCCAAGUCUGGUCUGAAUUACAGAGCAGGACCCUGUCUCAAAACAAAACAAGACAAGACAAGACAAAACAAAACAAAACAAAGCAGCAAGGCUGGCAGCAUGCAGCUGCAGAGUCCUGCCCUGCCUUACCAGCCUUUCCCUACCCCUGGUGAGUGCAGAGAGCAGGGAGCUGGGAACGCCUCUCUCGCGCGCCCUCUGCUGUGACCUCACAUCACUGCAGCACACCUGUCCCAGGCAGUGCGGGGCUGGUCGUCAUGGAGCUCCUCCCACCCCACCUUCGACCUCGGGGUUCCAUCCGGGGUGGCAGGCUGCCCGCAGGCCUCGUGCCACCUGCGCGUCCUGGGGACAGUCUCCCAGACUAGCUUUUGAACUCCUGCACGGUGGGCGACAGAGGCCAGGGUUAACGCUGUUCGUGCGGCACAUCGCCAUCUGUCACCUCUGUGACCCACAGCGGCUGGGCCGCUCCUCCUGUGGCGGGGGAAGCCUCAUGCAGCCUCGUGUCUCCUGACACAAGAAGCUAAACCCUAAAUGCGAGCUGCCCCCAGGGUCCUGGAGGCAAGCAGGACACCGGCCCGCGUGGACAGGGGAAGAUACACUCCGCAGGGUGCGCGGGGCGAGGCCGCUCCCUGACGCUUUGUCCUUUCCCCAGGGAGGUAACUAGGAUUCGAUCAGAAAGGGUCCAGUCAGGCCGUGCUGCAUUCCUGUUUGCCUCUCUCGGUUCUUAUUUAAUUCUGAGCGACCCUUGGGCUGGGGGUAGGCAGUGUGUCUGCCCCCAGCCAGGGCUUGAUGGACUGGAGAUGUAGGCAGCGCCUCU
rnacentral:lncRNA from 1 species